GAUGUAGCUUUGCAUUACAGCAUCUUUCAUUGCUUCACCAUGUUUCACUCCUAGAAAGAAAAACUCCGGAGAUCUGCUUCUGCUGAAUCGUGCAGCUUCUGCUGUGUUGGCUGGUUUGCUGUUUGGCUGGACUGCUGGCAAACCAAGGAGACCAACACCAGAAGGCCUGCUAACGCUCCCAUGCCCGCCCAUUCCUUCAGAUGAUUCAUGGCUGCAGCAAUCCAUGAUGAUAAUCCUGUGGCUAGUCCUGCGUCCACUCUGGUAGAAUUUACCGUGACAAUGGCCACUCACAGCUGCUCCAUCGUAGUAUCGAAUUCUCCAGUCCAAGAUGGAGCUGGUUUCCGCCUUCCACCUUCCCGAUGGCAAACCAAGGAGACCAACACCAGAAGGCCUGCUAACGCUCCCAUGCCUGCCCAUUCCUUCAGAUGAUUCAUGGCUGCAGCAAUCCAUGAUGAUAAUCCUGUGGCUAGUCCUGCGUCCACUCUGGUAGGAUUUACAGUGACAAUGGCCACUCUCAGCUGCUCCAUCGUAGUAGAGAGUCCAUUUUUUAAGGUACUCAGUUUAUGGCAAUUUAUUGUAACAGCCACAAAAAUUAAUAAAGUAGAAUCUAUUUUUACCAGUAAGGGAAUGUUAAAGCAAAUACACUAUAGGAUAGGAAAGCAGGCGUAAUCCUGAUUAGGCAUCUUAAUGAAAUAUUAUUCAUUGAAGAGGGAGACCAGGGAAAGAACAGUUCUGUCUUAGGAAAGACGUAGUAGUUUCUAACUCAAGCUAAGAAACAUGGUUGAUAUUUUCUGGUUUCACAUUUUUUUUAUUUUACUAAUAAAAAUCCUCAAUUCAUUAUGGUUUCUGAGUACCUUUAACUGCCAGUGUUAACAGGAAAGUGCUAUGACUUAGCUCUGAGAUCUCACUUCACACCAGCUUCUGAUCCUGGCAUGACUAGUUACCUGCUUUCUUCAAGAUCAAUACGCACCUGGACUAUUUGCUAUGUCUUCAUGAUGGAAAAGCCUCCAGACCAGGGUUUGAAGUAAGUUUAUGCAGAUUUGGUAACCAGAAAUAUUGUGAUAGGUUUAUCACUUCUUUUUAUAUAUAUGUGAAAAAUAACAUUUUAUAAAAUGAAUAUUUUAAGGUUGAAAUGAGAUGCUUUAAUAAAAUCCCCUUCAUUGAGCUUAUUUUGUUUUCCAGAAAUGAGUCCUCUUUUUCAAAUUUUUUUUUAAAACUGAUUUGUACUGUUCUUAGUGAUGUUUUCAGAACUAAACAUCUGCUUAUCUAAUGUCUUCUUUUGUCUGCCUGUCUGCUUGGCUGUCAUGAAACUGCUUGUCUGAAUGAGUCAGAGGCCAUCGGGCGAAAACGAACUUUCAAAUCCACUUACAAGGCCUCCUUACUGGACAGCACAUUCAGCUGAUUCUUUCUCACAUCAUUAGAAUGGACUUUGCCUCUGGGCACUCUUUCAAAACCUUAUGAGUGUGUUUUUCUUCAAUCUUAUUUUCCUGUUCCUGAGAACUUGUUUACUCUUAGUUUUACUGAUUUUUCUGGCUAAUGAUGGAUAGGACUGGGACACUGACCAAAUUUCAGUGACAAAAGUCUUAAGUGAGAGGAUUAAAUUAGGACGGUUGGGAGAGAGAGGUAAGGAAGUUUGUAUGGAUUGGAACAAUUAACACUAAGGGCUAUAUGGUAAGGUACUAUGUAGAAUCUUCCGGAAAUAUAUACACAUAUAAGAGAAAUCUAAGUGAGGCCACCAAAUAAUGGGGGAGACAACGCCCCAACUACACUCCUUUUAGCACUGAGUGAAACCUCUAGUACCAGGAAAGGGUUCCAUCCUGUUGAGUCUUUGGCCACAGUUCCAAGGCUACUGGUUAUUCUCCACAAACAGAGGCUGUUUGUGUUGCUGAAGGCCAUGCUUAACAGAUCUCAUUGAACACAAAGCAGUCAAGGUGGUGCCUCACUGGAGUUUUCACCAGUCCUGUCUUCCUAAUACUCUGAACACUACUAGACAAGAAAGGUAACCACCAACCCAGUAUAAAUCCCCAGCUGCAGCCGUGAUCUGCCUGCAUGAUAUGCUUGUGCAGUAGCGGGACAAAUGUUUGAGUAACUAGUCCUUAUCUGACUAGAUAUAAGGCCCACUGCGUGAGAGGGAGUACAUGUAUGACACUGCUCAGGUGGCCAGGGACCUGAGACUUGAGUGGACAUGGGCUUAGGAGGAAAUCAAAUACUACCGCUAUGUAAAAGGAAAGUAUCAUUAAACUUGCUCAGAACAACCUUCUGCUAUGCUCAUAGAUUAGUCUCUCAUUCAGUCAUCAUCAGAGAAGCUUCCUAUUGCAGUGGAUAGGAACCAACAUAGAAAUCCACAAUUGGACAUUGUAUAGAGAGUGAAAGGGUUCAUAACAUUCAGUCUUUACUGGGAUGUCCUCAUCUGAACCUGCCCUUAAAGCUCAGGGAACUACAUGGAAGAAAAGACUCCAAGGGAACCACGUCUUCCAAACUCAACAGGGUUAAUGAACAGGUGAACCUACAAAGACGGUCAGCAUGGAUAAGGCCUAGACCAGUUCAAGCCUUAUGAGGUGCCUACACUGAGAUGUAGACAUGGGCUCCCAUUCCUAACCAAGAAGCUCCCUGCACUUGAUACACACUUGCCAAAGAAAGCAGCAGUUUUCUCCAAUGGCAUCUCACUGGGCAUCACCAGAAUUAAGGGUAGGUCCUUUGUGGAGCAGUAGAUGGCCAACAGCAAAUCAGUGGUAUUUUUUAUAAGUCUUUGUUUCAGAUUGCUUUGUUUGGGGAUGUGUGUGUAUGCAUGUGUGUUUAUAUUUCUUAUGUUUUUGUUUGUUUGUUUGUUUUCUGAUGAAAGAAAGAUGGAGUGAACUUGGGUUGUUGAAGAGGAUCUUUGAGGAAUUGGGGAGGAGAAAGUGUGAUCAGAACAUGUUAUAUGAAAACUUAUUUUUUUCAAUUAAAAAAAUGUUUGUAGAAGCACCAGCCUUACAGAUAGGCACAGUUCUCAUGGGACAUUUUCAAUUUAGAAGUGUGCUUCUUCUAAGCCAAACACCUGCCUAUUCUAUGCUUUCUCAUGAUACUGUUAACUCUUGUGUAUGAAUUUUCCUUCAAAAUUUCACUAAAGACAACUUGUAAUAUCUGUGGCUACUCUAUGUAUCAUUUGACAUGAAUAAAAAUUGUUCAUAGAA